AUCAAGCAUGUCUGUGUUACACUUUGAGGUUGCUGUGCAGAGAUACUGCACAUUGGCUUUGAAAACUGUCUAUUCAAGUCGCUCACAUUGCCAGUUCUUUUAAUGAGUUUAUAGGAGUCUUUUAAUCACCUGCCACUGGGCAGAAGCAUAAGGGUCUAUUGUGUUUUGUCUGAUGAGAAAGAACACUCCAUUUUGACCCUAACAGAAUAAUUUUGAAUUAUGUUUGCAAGAGUGAAGGAUUUGAAAGGCAGAAGAAAAGUCAAAGCAAGGAAAAUAAUCCCACAUUCCUUAAAUUUUCUGACUCUCAGUCUGUUCUGCACAAGAAUUAGAAUGGACCUUUGCAAGCAAUUGCAGCUGUUUUCUAGGUUAUCUCUAACUGGACUAAGCUUUGCAGACUUCACAGUAAGCACAGGGACUUAGCUGCUCUUGAGUUGUUUUGUGACCACGUUAAGCAUCUGCUUAGUACAUCCUCAAGUAGUCACCUUUUCUAUCACUUCUGUCACACCUGCACACUUCCUUAUGUGCAGCCACAUUCCAGGUACUCCAAGUAACACAUAUGUACCCUACACAAAAUCAUCUGCUUCAGUCCCUUAUCCACACCAAUUCCUCUUCCAUGCUUUGUUGGACUGAAGGCAAUUACUGGACAGCCACCAGACAUUUCAGUGGAGUAUCCCCUGAUUUAAAGGAGGUGAGAGCUGAACGUGGUGAUUUCCUCCCUAGCUUCCACUAAACAACCACAUGGCAGUUCAGUAUCAUGCUGAUUCUACCAGGUAUGCCUGUCUGAAAACCCCAUGCUACUACUUAUUUCCAGACAGAGGAAAUUGUGGAAUUCAGUUACCACAAGUACAACUGUCAGUAUCAACAUGAAUCAGCCUGAGACUGAAGCUAUAAUUUGUGAUGUAAAAACUAGAUGUGGAAUUUCCAGAAGUGCAAACGAAUAAAUUACUUUACUGUAACUAUGAAGAAAUUAAACAAAUGUGGAAGUUAAAACUGUAAUCCUCUUCACUAUUGUAUAACUAUAUUCCUUCUUAAACAACAAAUAAAUGAUUAUACAAUGAAACACUGGAUCUGUUUCUCAGAGGACAGAAAAAAAUAAGAUCAAGCCAUGUAGUAAAGAAUUAUGCUGGCUUUGAAAAAACUUCACAUUUUAUUUUUUUUAUUCAUUUCCCAACUAGACUGGAGGCAUCUAUAAAUACUUCAGAAAACAGAGGUGGCUAUGGCAUAGUUGCAGCUGGCCAGGUCAACUCUCAGCUUAUGUGUAUUGGCUUUACACCUAUGAAAUCAGUGAAAAGCAGGUGAACUGGAUGUGGAGAGCCAUGAAAAUGCAAAAGUUUCAGUCUAAGAACAGAAUAAGAAUAACUGAAAUCACUCUUCUCAGUGAUGUCCAGUGAUAGAAUGAGGGGCAACGGGUGCAAGCUGAAGCAUUGGAGGUUCCACAUGAACAUGAGGAAAAGCUUAUGUGAGGGUGACAGCAUUGGAACAGGUUGCCCAGAGAGACCGUGAGGUCUCCUUCUCUGGAGACAUUCAGAACCUGCCUAGACACAUUUCCUGUGUGACCUGCUCUAGGUGAUCCUGCUCUGACAGGCCCUUGCACUAGAUGAUCUUUUGAGGUCCCAGCCUCUAACAUUCAGUGAUUCUGUGGUUCUGUGAUUUUCUGCAUAUUUGGGAUUUCUUGCAGUGAGUAUUAAAUAAAGAGUCUUGGCUGAAA